ensembl:lncRNA
UGGACAACCCCAGCUCCUUCAGCCGCUCUUCAUAAGGCCUGUGCUCCAGACCCCUCACCAGCUUUGUUGCCCUCCUCUGGACACACUCCAGGGCCUCGAUGUCUUUCUUACAGUGAGGGGCCCAAAACUGGACACAGUACUCAAGGUGCGGCCUCACCAGUGCUGAGUACAGGGGGACAAUUACUUCCCUGUUCCUGCUGGCCACGCUAUUUCUGAUACAAGCCAGGAUGCUAUUGGCCUUCUUGGCCACCUGGGCACACUGCUGGCUCAUGUUCAGUCUAGCGUCAAUCAACACCCCCAGGUCCAUUUCCUCUACACAGUCUUCCAGCCACUCUGCCCCAAGCCUGUAGCGUUGCCUGGGGUUAUUGUGGCCAAAGUGCAGGACCCGGCAUUUGGUCUUGUUGAAUCCCAUCCCAUUGGUUUCAGCCCAGCUAUCCAACCUAUCCAGAUCCCUCUGUAAGGCCUCGCUACCCUCAGGCAGAUCAACGCUUCCAGCCAGCUUGGUGUCAUCUGCAAACUUACUGAGGGUGCACUCAAUACCCUCAUCCAG